UCAAGGGCCUCCACCGCUUGGAAACCACAGCGAUGAAGGAGGCACUUUCCUUGGGCAAAGAAUGGAGAGUCUGGGUGGGCUUUGUUUGGAUGAAAUUGAGAGCAGCUUAGUUGCUGCCAGGCCUCUGGUACACUGUGUUGUCCUGGGUCAAAACUCAAUUGCAGUGUAACCACCCAGAGUGGCCUUCACUUUAGCUGUUUGAACAAGGGAGAGCAGGAGCAAGGGCAGGGCUACACCAAGAGGUGACUAGCAGGUCCCAGGAAAGAAGCCAGUGACUGGGAGUGUCAGGUAGAUCACAGUCCAUCAGUGACAGGACCUAAUCUACCGAGUACCCAGCUAAGGUUAGUCAUGGCUUCAGCACAUUUCUACCCAGAAACAUCCACCUAGCUCAGGGUUAGCCACGUCUGCUCCAGCUUGGACUGUAGGUGAGGCAGGCAUAGGGCACAUACCUCAGAAUCUCUAGAAUGAGAGUGAUGCAAGAUGGGCCAGGAUGAGCAGCAUCCCAGUCAGGAAUAGAAGCCACAGAAGGCCCUGCUCUAGGGAUGACAAUGCUGUCCAGACCAGUGUGACCACCUGCAAAACAAGGAGCAGCCCUGCCUGGAGCCAGUGUCAGCAGACUGCAGAAGAUGGUAUAUUAUCCUCUGAAGUUACAGCUGAUCGUUAGCUGCCGUGUGGGUUCUAAGAACCAAACCUGGUUCCUCUGGAAGAGCAGCCAGUGUUCCUAACUGCUGAGCUGU
rnacentral:lncRNA from 1 species